CCCAUUGCCACCCCACGAAACACAGACACACGACACCAACAAAAGUACACCCUACAAACCACAAAAUUCACACACCCUAGGAGACAUAGACGCUACAAAAGCCACUCCGACUCCACAAACUAGGACAUACAACAACACAUUCAAAAGAACCUCUCCAAGCAAGAAGAGGGUAAAAAUCCGAGAUGCAGACCACUCUGGUCCUAAAAUGAACAAACGUACAAUCGCUGUAAAUAAG